GCUGGAGGCUCUGGAGUCUCCUCUGGCCCUGACCCCAGCCCUCAGUCAGCAGCCUGUGUCCCGCUCGCUCCCUCCCAGGCCUGAUCUGCCCCCUCAUCCCCCUCUCUGGCCCAUCCUCCUCCAUGGCAUCCUCCUGGGCAGGGCCUAGGCCUGGGCGCCGUGCACUCCCCUCUUGUGCUGGGGCUGGAGCUGGGUGUGACGUUGGGUGUCCUUUUGCCUUUGCACGUGGAGAGGCAUUGGGGUGGGGGCUCGUCUCCUGGGCACAAGACCCCAGGCUAAGGUUGCUGUGUGCUCUAGGCUGCAGAGGACAGCCUGCCCCUUCCUUGUGAACCCUGAAAUGUUCUCAGAGGAUGCUUAGCAUGGACCAGCGCUGCAAUUCACUCAGGUGAUUUACAUGAGAAAGCAGCUGCAAGGAAGCACCCCCUCUCCCUCGCUUCCCUGCCUCCACCAGGAGCCUGAUAAGGCUGGAGCUGAGCAGCUUUCUCCUUGCACAAAGGGAGGCCAUCUUUCAAAGGAGCCUUAUCAUCUCCAUCAAGGGCGUUUCUGGUGUAGUAUUUUAUUUCCUCCCUCCUCCCACUCUGCUGAAAGCUGCGUUUAGCUAAAUGGAGUCAAAUGAAAGCCAGAUGAGCUGCUUUACUUUCUCACAUCUGAUGUGAUUUAAUGCUGUUUGUCUCCAUUUAGAAAUAAAUUAAAGCACUUUUUAAAAAUUGUUAUUCUAGAGUACAAGAGGCUGGGAAAACAGUCAUUAUGUGUCCCCAGCAGUGCUUCCCUUCCCAGGGACUGAUGGAUGUGCUGAGCUCUGACCCAGGGCCUCGGGGCAGGAAUAGUUGGCUUAUGUCUGUUGUGGCCUCAGCACAGUGGGGACAGACUGCGUGGUCCACUGGGUGGCUGUGCAGAUGCAGAAUGUGGGCACCCUUCCUGCCCAGGAAGGGGCUGGAGCCCCACCUGCUGUUGCAAUCUUAGGGCCAUCUACUGGUGACCUGAGCUGGUCCUCAGGACCCUUGUGAGCCCUGAGCCCUCUCUCCAUGCCCAGGUGCCCACCUGGACUAAUUGGCCAUGUUCCCUUGCUGCCCUGGCCUUGAUAAGGCUGUUGUGGGAGCUUUCGAAGCUGCCUGCAAGUUGGAGGAUCGAUGAUUGAGGAAUGUUCACCCCAUCCCCUAUCUACAGGGGUUGAUUAGUGUCCCCUUAAAAUGUGUCCACCCAGAACCCCAGAAUGACUGUCUUGCUUUCUUGUUGCUGGAACAGAAUACCUAACACCCACAAGUUAAAGGAGGCAAGGUUUAUUGCAGCUCAGAAUUUAUAGAGGUUUUGGUCCAUUGUUGUUUGGUUCCAAGGCAGGGCAGCAUGGCCGAGGAACAUAGCAGAGGAGAGAAACAGUCCAUGGCAGGGUAGGCAGGAAGCGAGCAGUGAGUCUUCCUUUCCCUUUUUCUUCCAUUCAGACUAUAAACCCAUUGGUUAGUUCCAUCCAUCCCCGGGGUGGGCCUUCCCAUUAUCCACACACAGAACUGUGGUAAUCCAAUCAGCGGACUAAUCCAGUUAUCAUGCACCCAUGAUCCAGUAUCACACACCCCUGAACCAGCCACCUCCCAAAAGCCCCACCUGGGAGUGCAUGAGGUUUUGGGGGACAUUUUAGAUGUAACAGUGACCUUAUUUGGGAAACAAGGUUUUUGUGGAUGUCAUUAAAGGAGGGAUCAAAAUGAAUCUCAUUGCGUUAGGGAGGUCCCACAACCUAAGGAAUGUUCUUAGGAGAGAGAAGGAAAUGAGACCUCACUCUCCCCUAUUCCCUUGGACUGCUGGAGGGGGUGUGGUCUCACCAACAGCUGUCACAUUGUCCCCUUACUCGUCCUUGCUUCCCUGAGGGUAGCAUGGGGCCACCAGCCCCAGUGUCUUCCUGCCACCACCAUUGUUGCUUUGGGAGCUAUCCUCUAUGCUGCACUGACAGGAGCUGCAUUCUUGGCUGACUGCAGUGAUUCCCCUGUCACUCUGGGCCACCAUUGCUGCCUCUCUAUGGAAUGGCUGAAAACUGGUGCUCAAUAGGGCAAAGAUGGGGAGGACCAGGGGCCAUUGCUGCUAUCCCCGAAAUCCCUGAGCCUCAGAGGGUCAUGGUGACCACAGUAGCCUCUCCUGGAGUUCCCUCAAAAGCAGUGUUGGGCCAAGCUGUCACCAUGACAGCAGAGGUGUCUUAGAUGCCCCAGGGUGCUCCAGGAGAGGUUUGCUCUGGCUGAGGCAGGCUUGGAACAGAACUUUCCCAGAUGACUCCGCCCACCAGCCUCCAGAUGUCCCAUUCCCCUCUUUGUCACUACUUCCAAAGUCCCCAGCAUGAGUCCCUGGAGAGCUUCACUUGGCUCAUCCUAUUGCCCGCUCAGGAUUUUUAUCCUGUGUAGAGUGAGACCAGCAGGUUGCACUAAGAAGAGCUGCUGACACCAAGAACUCUGCCCCGAAGAGCUCCAGAGAGUGGCAGAACAAGGAUCCCAGACCAUCAGGGCCCUGCCAUGAGUGGUGGAGAACCCCAGAGAACAGCACAAGCUGCUGGAAGAGCUCUAGAAUGGUGUUGGGGGCCAUGAGCAGGGCUGCUGAGGCCAGGAGCCAUCAAGAGCUAUGACACUAAGAGCUAAGAGGUGCUGGCACUCAAAGCUUACAGCUGUGACACUAACAGCUGGCAGCUACUGGAACCAAAAGCCUGGAGCUGCUAACGUUAAAGGAGCUGCACUUGACAAUUUAUGAUUUCUCUCUGAAUUGAACAAGAGAACCCCCAGCUGGUUGGAAACACAGGAGACAGGAGGGGACACGCAGACAAGGCAGUUAUCAGAUGACUGGGACAGAUGCAGCUUAAAGCUGGAGAGGCCUCGAUGGGCACUUUCCAAGCCUCCAGAGAGACCCAGCCCUGCACCCCUCAAUCUGGGAUUUCUGGUCUCUGGAACUGUGGGAAAAUAAAGUUCUGUUGUUAAACCACCUACUUUGCAGCAGUUUGUUGUGCCAGCCCUAGGAAAGUAACUGAAGGGGUUGGGGGGCCUCACAGCCCCCCAGUAGCCCUUAGAUAUCCACAUAGC
rnacentral:lncRNA from 1 species